UACGUAGGGGGCAAGCGUUGUCCGGAAUCAUUGGGCGUAAAGCGCGUGUAGGCGGCUCGAUAAGUCUGCUGUGAAAGUCCAGGGCUCAACCCUGGGAUGCCGGUGGAUACUGUCGAGCUCGAGUCCGGAAGAGGCGAGUGGAAUUCCUGGUGUAGCGGUGAAAUGCGCAGAUAUCAGGAGGAACACCAAUGGCGAAGGCAGCUCGCUGGGACGUGACUGACGCUGAGGAGCGAAAGCGUGGGGAGCGAACAGG
rnacentral:rRNA from 1 species